rnacentral:misc_RNA from 1 species
GCAUGUUUUGGAAUGUGGCCAAAAUGUUACUGGAAAUAGGAAAACCAUUAAGUAUGAUUGGGCAUACAGCUCGUUCAAUGGAAAAUAAGGUUUGCGCAAAUACAUGUCAAGGCAAGAUAGUUGAACUACCAUGCAGCUUAUAGCUUGCCUAGUUAUGUACUUGAGCAAGUAACUUAUUCUUUUAGAAUGUAGACUAAACAACAAUAUAAAGUAUCUGCUCUUGUUUUGUGAAUUAGACUUUUGGUUAACUUCCUUUAAGAAAGCAAUUUGAUUGAUUGCAAAUAGGUUUUUGAAUUGGGUUGGAAUU